GGGAGUGUGUGAGUGGCUCGAGGGCGUCAGACUCGUCAGAGGGAGAAGGUUGGAGGGCCACAGAGGGAGAGAGGGAGAAGGUUGGAGGGCCAGAGGAGUAGAGAGAGGUUGGAAGGCCAGAGGGCAUCUGACAGGGACUCAGUGGGAGACAGUUUCCAGGAGCAGAAAGAGACUGGAAUGGGCUCGGCGGAGGGCAGGGAAGGAGACUUGGUUGAGGGCCUCUGACUGACUGACUGUGAUCCAGGAUGAAUGACAAUCCAUUCCUUUCAGCGGGAAGACACUCUGAAUGAGAUGUCUCCGUCCAGACAAGUGAUGUCAGCAUGACCCCCAAACACUUCUUCUGCAACAUGGUACUGGCCUGGAGCAGCCAGGCUGAGGAGAUGGAUGCCAAUCUGGAUGUGCUGCUUCUGCAUCCCUUGGAGGAAGAGGCAAUAAAGAACUGAGGAUUAAGGCCACGGGAUAGGAUAGGAUUAUCCUCCUCACUUUUCCAAAUGGAUCAUUUCAAAUUGGACGAUGUCUGGUCACCAGCCUCCAUUUGUGUCUGUCCUUUGUCUUUUAAUUAAUUGUGGGUAAUUUUGUUUUCAGGGGUACCUGAGAACCAUAGAUAUUUGCAGCCUAGUCGAGGCCAUUCGGCCUGUCCACUCGUUCCCAGACAAAACACAGAUACACGGCUCUCAUGUUGGUGGUGGCGUGGCCUCUCCUGGAGCUCGCUCGACUGCCCUCGGGAGUCAGGGAGGAAAUUUUCAUUUCUUUAAUAAACUUUUACUUUGUUUGUGCCAAACUCUGAUGGGCCAGGGUUCCAGUCUUGCCUCAUUAAACAAUGACGAUAAUCCGUGACUUGAUAUUAAACUCUGACUUUUUUUAAUUUAUUAAUUUUAUUUACAAGCCAAUGGCAGUAUGAAACAAUGAUUGGCAGAU